AGCUGCGCAGACGGUCUCCAGCGCGGCUGCCUGAGGGCGGCGUUUGUGUUGACUUGGCUCUGCUGUCCCUCGGGGAGGCGGGCCUGCCUGUGACAGCAACGGCCCCCUCGUCCUCAGGUGUGUGCCUGGGCUCAGCAAACGGCGGGACGGCGGCGCGGACGACAUGGCGGUGCCUGCAGUGCCCGCGCGUGUCCCGGGAACCACCUCACCGCUGUGGGCUUACAGCUCCCACCCGCACUCUCCCUGCACUUUCUUACACUCCGCGCGCACCUCUGUAGCUAGUCCCCUAUCCAGCCUUCCUCAAAUGAUCGUAAUCGCGGGGGCCACGUGUUUUUCUGCUGGGCCGGGACCAACAUGGAAGCUCACCUGCGGGCUCAGGAAAGCAGCUACUCACAUCUCCAGCGGAGCUCGCUGCCAGGUAUUUUGGAGAAUGCACGUGUUAUUUUUUGUAAUGAGAAAACAAUACAGUGGACUUCAGUUUGGAAAAAAAAAAAACUGUUUGGAGUUGGGGACAGGGCUGUUAGCAUGCUUCUCCACAUGAAGGCUUCCUCCCUUACCCUUACCUCCCACGAGCCUAAGUUUUUGAGAACCUAACUCGACCUUAGACUUUGCAUGUACUAUCUCUGCACACCAUUUUGCUGUGGGCCUCUGAGAGACCAAGAUGAAAAGCACUGCCUAAACUGUCAUUAAAAGUGCUAGAGAGCUUUGUCAAUUACUCUCAUGAUUCCUGUUGCUCUUUGGACUUGUUUAUCAGACCCCACCUAGAGUGCCUGCCUUGUCAGUCUGACCUGAUAUUGAACCUAGUUCACUCUGCCCACCCCCUGGUGUCCACCCUCUUGGAGUUCUCCCUCAUGGCUGGCUCCACCCUGAGCAGCACAAAUCGUGCCCCGUUGCCUUGUGCCAGAGAAAGCCCAGACCUGGCCUCAGGCCUUGGCUUUGCCCUGACUUGGCUGCGCGACCCUGGGACAGUACUUCUGCUCUCUGGGACUGUUUCCCUCUACGUACAAAGUGGAA